rnacentral:RNase_P_RNA from 1 species
AGUGGUAAGGGUGGAAAGGUGAGGUAAGAGCUCACCAGCAGUCUGGUAACAGGCUGGCUCGGUAAACCCCAUCCGGAGCAAGACCGAAUAGGGAAGGGUUAACGGUGGUCCCGCCUACCUUCCGGGUUGUGUCGCUCGAGCGUGCAGGCGACUGUACGCCUAGAAAGAUAAUCGUCACCGCGCAAGCGGAACAGAACUCGGCUUAAUGAUUGCUUGCUUCU